CAGUAGCCACGGUAAUACGGAGGGUGCAAGCGUUAAUCGGAAUUACUGGGCGUAAAGCGCACGCAGGCGGUCUGACAAGUCAGAUGUGAAAUCCCCGGGCUUAACCUGGGAACUGCAUUUGAAACUGUCAGGCUGGAGUCUUGUAGAGGGGGGUGGAAUUCCAGGUGUAGCGGUGAAAUGCGUAGAGAUCUGGAGGAAUACCGGUGGCGAAGGCGGCCCCCUGGACAAAGACUGACGCUCAGGUGCGAAAGCGUGGGGAGCAAACAGGAUUAGAUACCCGCGUAGUCCCUGUCUCUUAUAA
rnacentral:rRNA from 1 species